rfam:Ipomoea nil DNA, scaffold: scaffold1421, cultivar: Tokyo-kokei standard.
GGUUCUAUGGUCUAGCGGUUAGGACAUCGGACUCUGAAUCCGAUAGCCCGAGUUCAAUUCUCGGUAGGACCU